UGAGGAGCUGUGGUGGUUCAGGCUGUGCUGCCUCGUUUGCUGAGGGAUUUGGAUUUUUUUCCCUUGAGCACCCUGGAAAGAUGGACCUGACCUCAGUGAGAACAAACUGUCCAGCUCAUAAAAGAGAGCUGAGAAAGGAGGAAGAGCUGGUGAAUCCCUGACUGGCCCCAAACCAACCCGGGAAGAGCAGAGGGAGAAGGGUGAGGGACACAGUUAUUCCUCAUCAUCUGGGGACACAGCAAUGACACCAGGUUAAUGAAGGAGGCAGUGGCAGGGUGGCUCACAGGAUCCCCUUCCCGUCCUUCCCGGGCCGGCAGCGACUGCGGGCAGCCAGGAACGGAGGUGGGGAGCUCUGCUGGGAAGCAUGCCAGUGCGGCACUUCCUUCGUUUUGCAACCUCGACCAUAACCUUGUGGGAAUGAGGAUCAGGUGUUCCCGGCUGAUCUCAUCUGGUUCAGG
rnacentral:lncRNA from 1 species